GAAUAUUGGUCAAUGGGCGAGAGCCUGAACCAGCCAUGCCGCGUGCAGGAAGACGGCCUUCUGGGUUGUAAACUGCUUUUAUCAGGGAACAAAAAGCUCCUGCGGGAGAACUUGCGUGUACCUGAAGAAUAAGCACCGGCGACCUCAGUGCCAGAGGCCGCGGUAAUACGGAGGGUGCAAGCGUUGUCCGGAUUUAUUGGGUUUAAAGGGUGCGUAGGUGGUCGAUUAAGUCAGUGGUGAAAUCCUGCAGCUCAACUGUAGAACUGCCAUUGAUACUGGUUGACUUGAGUAUAGACGAGGUAGGCGGAAUUUAUGAUGUAGCGGUGAAAUGCAUAGAUAUCAUAAAGAACACCGAUAGCGAAGGCAGCUUACUAGACUAUAACUGACACUGAGGCACGAAAGCGUGGGGAGCGAACAGG
rnacentral:rRNA from 1 species